UGGAGUUUCAAUGUUUUUUGCGCCAUCAAAAAUAAUGCAAUUCUCGAUGUUCACAUUUAUGAUGGGACUUUAACUGGAGAUAGAUAUUCUGACAUAUUGACUCAAAUAAUUGAGCCGCUAGUACAGAACCAUAAUGACUUAUGGUAUCAACAAGAUGGCGCGCCUCCACACAAUUCACUCAAUGUGUCAAAUAUCCUCUACAGGCUAUUUGAAGAUCGAUGAUUGGCGAACAAUGGUCCACAUCUUUGACCGCCACGUUCUCCCGAUUUAACUCCUUUAGACUAUUAUGUUUGGGGUAGGAUAAAAAAUAUUGUCUACUCAACUCCCCUGACUGAUAAAGAGGACUGCAUAGAACGAGUCAGAAAUGCGUUCAGAUCUCUUCCUCCCGAUGAAAUAAGAAGAGCAACGCACGAAGCAUUCCUGAGACGUAUAAAUAAAUGUCUUGAAAUUAACGGUCAAAACUUUGAGCAUCUUCUCUAGUUAUA